rnacentral:tRNA from 1 species
GCCGGAGUGGCGGAAUGGCAGACGCGGCCGACUUAAAAUCGGCUGCCCGCAAGGGCGUGGGGGUUCGAAUCCCUCCUUCGGCACCA